AAAUAUAAAUAAUAUUAAAAAAAUUAAAUAGUAAAAUUUUUGGACUAUAAAUAGCCAUAGGAGGGGAGGUUAUUCUGCACAAAGAGAGGAAGGAUCAAGUAAGAAAUCUUGAAAAAUAGAGAAGGAAGAGUUAGGAAGAAAUUUUUAGUUGCAAGAAGGGUAGAGGUUCUAGAGGGUCUUCGGGAGAACAAAUUCUGAGCAAGGGAUAGUCUGGAAUAGAGAUAAGGGAAGUUGACCUUUCUAAGCUUUUAUAUUGUGAUAAAAUAUUUUUGCAUAACUAUUCAUGUCUUGAAAUUAUGUGCAAUUACUAUUAAGGAAAAACCUAUGUACUGUUGUAUAACUAUUUGAAU
rnacentral:lncRNA from 1 species